CCUUGGGACACCACAGCUUUUGCAAGAGGCUGGCUUUGGGGAGCCAUCCCGGUAAAACCCGGAAGCUGCUGCUCCUUGGUGGUUCUCAUCUCAUCCCAGCUGUCAAGACAGCUGGUUGAAUAAUACUUAAAUAAAAUGUUCUGAGUAUGGCUAUAUGCUGAGUCUUGCUAGUGAAUCACUGAGCCAUGGACACAAUACGACAGCCAGCUGACAGAGUGAGGACUACAGGUUCUCUAGUGCGCUCACUUCUCCAAUGCUGGGGAUUUUACAGUAUUCGUGUGUGGGGAGCCAGAGGACAACCUCAGUCAAUCCUCAGGGUAAAGCAUUAUUUCCUGCUGAAGAUAAAGUGAUCCAAGGAAAGAAACAGAAUACCACCUUGAGCCUCUGAAACUGCUGCUGUCCCUGCACUGGUGCGACUGGUGGGGCUGGAUGGGCAUGGCUCUGGACCACCUGGCCUCCAUGAGGCUGGACAGCUGUUGGAUGAUGAUGACUGCUAUGAACUGAUGCUAUGGUGGGUCCAUGACUACCAGAACUUUGUGGCACAGCUGAAACCUAGGGUGAACAAAAUACAGAAAAAUUAAGGCUUGUGCAUUCUUCCCCAAAUGCAUCUAGAGAAAUAACACAAAUGCCCAAAGCAUGUAUUUCUGCAGGCAUAAACACAUUAAGAAAAGAAAAAGGGAAUUAAUGAUGUUACAGCCCAUGUAAAUUUAAUGUUUUACAUAUAUUAAAAAUCAUUCAAAUUAAGCUGGGCAGGGUGGCACUUUUUUUUUAUCCCAGCACUAGGGAAGCACAGGCAGGCACAUCUCUGAGUUUUAGGCCAGCCAGAUCUGUGUUAUGAGUUCCAGGACAGCCAGAGCUAUAUAUUGAGACCCUGUCUCAAAAUGUAAUAAUAAUACCAAUAAUAAAUUUCUAGAACACUUCUGUUCUCCUAUUUCAAAACUGUUAAUCAAAGCCAAAAGUGGGAGAUCAUGCCUAUAUUCUCAGCAUUUAAAAAACUAAAGUGGCUCUGAGUUUGAAGUCUACCAGGGCUGGGUAGUGAAUUCCAUGCCAACCUGAGCUACAGAGGGAGAGCUUCUCUCUAAAACCAAAAACAAGAAAAUGGUGAUGGUGGUGGGUACUGUUUUAAUAGCAGUAUAGCUGACUGCUUCAUCCCCACAUAAGGAACUUGAACACUGUGAAUUUUACUUUCUCUAAGCAGUAUAAAUCAUACACCUCAACUUAGAGAAUAAUAAAGCUUUUCACAAAUCCUCACAAAUUUAUAAAAAUUAACUUGAGCAAGGGAGAUAGAAAUAAAGCAACUAUAUGUAAAAUUAGAUAUAAAAUUUAAGAGACUGGAUAAGAAAAUAUUUAAGAAGCUGGAAGUGUGGCUCAGUUCACAGGAAGCCUUGGGCUCCAUCUCCAAAACUCAAACAUGAUGUGCUAAUACUGGGCUGUAGUCUUCACAGCUGACAGACAGAGAGACCAUCACAGCAAAUUCAUGGACCAUCUGGGCUACAACCUUAUGACCUUAUAUAAAAAAACGAAAGAAAAAAAAUUAAAUGAAUUCUACAAAUGGUAAUAAAAAUUAAAAUAAAAACCAAGUGUGGUAGUACAUGCCUUUAAUCCUAACACUCGGAGGCAGACAGGCAGCCUGAUCUAUACCAAGAUUUCCAAGCCAGCCAGGGCUACACCGUGCGUAAGAGGCUGACUUAAAACAACAACAACAACAACAACAACAACAAAACAAAACAAACAAACAAAAAAAACCAAACAGGGGCAGGGGGCCCUGGGGAGCAUUAGAAACCAAAUUAAGUUUAAAAAUUAAAGCCAGGUGGUGGGGUGGCUCAAGCUUGUAAUCCCCAGCACAGCCAUGGCUACACAGAGAACCUGUCUUGAAAAACAAAAUUAUACAGUAAAAUAACAUUUUAAAAUAAAAAAUGAAGAAAGUAGCCAGGCAGCUGGCUCGCUGCAAGUUCAACGUCAGUCUGGGCUACAAAGUUAGUCCAAGACAGCCAAGGCUACAAAGAAACCCAGUCUCAGAGAGGAGAGAAAAAAAAAAAAAAAAAAAAAAAAAGUACCUCUAAUUUGAGAUAUUAAAUUAAUAACAAAGAAAGGUCAGGGGUGUGGGUUAGCAGUAGAACACUUGCCUGACACAAACAAUGCCCUGGAAUCAAUCUCAACUAACACAAACACGUGAGGCAAAGUGACAUGCCCUAUAACACAACUGAAAGGCAGGAGGACAGAAAACCUCAACGCUGUCUGGGCUAUGUAACACGGCUCUAUUUUAUUAAAGAGAGAACAGCCUUUGAGGAGUGAGCACAACGAGAAGGAAGACGAGGGGACCUAGCAAGGAGAGGAGGAGAAGGCAGCAGGCAAGGCCAGAGACCUUCAGAGGUCAGGGCAGGACUUUUGACUUGCUGUCACUGCUUUACACUUAGUUGGCGUCUUACAGUUGGACUACCACAUGCACACAUUAUCAUCGUGGGAAUUUUUUCUUAGGUAGUUCUGUGCUUUAUAAAAGUCACUUUCCAUGUGUGAAACCACCAUGCUAUCCGUUCCUCCUGCUCUCUCAGCCCGCUCCAGCUUACCUGGUAGUUGGGUGCCACUGAGUACUGAAUGCCUGUAGCUGACUGCAUGGUCUCAGACACUGCUUCAUACACAGGAGGGGCAGGGGCAAGUACCCGGUGCUGGUGAGGAAACGCCUCUGUGCUUCCAGGAAUCCUUCGCUGCUGGGCUGCAUACACCGGUGACUCCUGGUCAUCCAAACGGCGCUUCAUUCUGCACUCAUGCUCAGGGAUGCACUACAAAACCUGUACAAAACAGAGACACAAAAAUAGUAUCCCACGCCAGCAUGACGCAAAUAACUUAGGAUCAGCCACCCAAAUUUAACGUAAGCCUGACUUCCAGAACUGAUUGCCUAGCACUAGUCACUGAAUAGUUUACACACACUUUACACUGAACAAGUUAGAACUGAAAAAAAAGGCUAAGGAACAGUGUGUUCAUCAAUUUGGUAACACUAAGUUGAAAAAAACCCACAACUUUAAAAUCUUCUUUUCUAUUUCCUCUCCUGUGGCGGUUUCGAUGACAAUGGCCCCCGUAAGUCAUGUAUUUGAAUAUCUAGUUCCUAGCUGGUGAACAGUUUAGGAAGAAUUAGGUGUGGCCUUGAUGAAGUCACUGGAAAUUUCAAAAGCCCAUACCAUUAACAGUUAGCACCCCCAACCCAGACUCCUGGUUGCAUCUCAACAUUUAAUCCCUCAGAUACUAUCCGGCACCAUGCCUGCCUGCUGCCAUGAUCCUGGCCAUAAUGUUCAUGGAUACCCUCUGUACCAUAUGGAAGCCCAAUUAAAAGGUUUUUUGUUUGUUUGUU